rnacentral:tRNA from 1 species
GCCUCCGUAGCUCAACUGGCAGAGCAGCUGACUCUUAAUCAGUUGGUUCGGGGUUCGAGUCCCUGCGGGGGCA